AAUAACUUUAUUUUUCGUUUUUCCGUGUCCAACGUUUGACCAUUCGUCUUAUUUGAAAAAUUUAUGCAAAAACCAAAAAAACUAGUCACGUAUAAAGUACUAUUCAUAUUUUAUCAUCUAGUAAUAAUAAAAAUAUUAACCGCAAAAAAAUUUCAAAUAAGACGAAUGAUCAAAUAUUGAAAAAAAAAAUAAGGUUAUUAUGGGA
rfam:Oryza brachyantha chromosome 5, whole genome shotgun sequence.